rnacentral:ncRNA from 1 species
CACUGUUCUCAGGGCGGGGUGAAAGUCCCCACCGGCGGUGAUGGUCCCGCGCGCCUCGUUCGAUACGAGCCUGCCAGCGACACGAGCCCGCGAGCGCCCGGCCCGCCAACACGGCCGCCGGGGUCAGCAGAUUCGGUGAGAUCCCGAAGCCGACGGUCACAGUCCGGAUGAAAGAGAACGGCA